UCAUUUUUACAUGUUGUUAAUCAUCCAGGCCACUAGAGGGCGUACAGUUCUGUAGCAGUGUUAGUUUCCGCCACUGGGUGGCAAGAGCAAGAGACCGCUUGCACAGUGUCAACAACAGCAGCAUGAGAUUGUGUCCUGCUCAAUCUGCAGCCGUCCACUCUUUUCCAGCCCUUUGAGUGGCAAUAUGUGUAAGUUUUGUUGUUAGAUGGGAUGUUUAGACACGGUAUACAUGACCAUUUGCAUAAUUUUGUGGAGAUUUAUCUGGGAGAUGCCAGAUGAUAGCUAAGCCUUUUCUUAGUCAAUGUAAUGUGUCUGCUAACCUACAGCUAGCGCUGUAUAGCACCUUUUGUGCACAUUGUCUUUCAUUUCUAGUUUCUAAUACACGUCUGUAUUUUCUGUCUUUUCAGUUUCACACUUUUUUGCAUUAAAUCCUUGCCCAAAACGACACCUGCCUGUUCCUUGGAGGAAAUUAUGCAAGAGAGAGUUUAGCUGGCUGUGAAUCUCAAUUAGGGCACAGGUCACAUUGGGUGCAACAGUACAGUGAAAACAUAGCACUCGGCGAGGGACCACAGUGACGGUUGGUGGAAUUCAACCAAACUCCACAGUCAUCAGCAGUCCUACCCAGUCGUUAAGAUGGAUUCAACACAAUCUGAAAAUCGAAAGGAAGAAGAAACACAAUUUGACAAAAGGUCGUCCUCCUCUCACUCAUCCAAGUCCUCAGCGAAGUCGGGGAAACUGAGUGUUCGAUCAUCUGCAGGAUCAAAGAGGUCAACAGCUUCAAGUAAAGUCAGCAUGGCCGCAGCACAGGCACAAGCAGAGGCUCAAGCAGCAAAGGCAAGGCUUGCUUAUGCUGAAAGAGAGAUGAACAUCAAAGUUGAAAAGGCACGUUUAGAGGCGAGUUUGGAUGUUCUCAACCUGCAAAAAGAAGCAGAUGCAGCCAUUGCUAAAGCAGAGGUAAUGGAGUCUGCUGCAGCUCAGCUCAUCAUCACAGAGCACAGCGAAGAGUUAAUCUAUUUGCCUCUACAACAAACUACAGAACAAAAAGUAAGUGAAUACAUCAACAAACACAGUAGCACUAAUCCACCUCAAACCAGAGAGACCUUUCAACAGGAUGAUACAAAUCAGGAACAACAUUCAACAUUAAUUUACACACCUCUCCGUGCCAAACAAGAACCAGUUUAUUACUCACCUCAGCCACAAGAGGGCGCCAAAAGACCAGCACAAACAGAUGUAAUGCACCAAGCUUCUCUCAAUGUGUCUCAUCCACAGCAAACAAUGUCAAAUGACGCUAACAACACAACCAAUGAACUUGCCAGAUUUCUAGCUAGAAGUCAACUGGUAACAGGAGGACUGACAAAGUUUGAUGACAAGCCAGAGACCUACCUAAGCUGGAAAGCCACAUUCCAGAGUACCAUCAUAGAUCUUGGUCUUACAGCCAGUGAAGAACUAAACCUCCUCAUUAGGUGGCUUGGUCCAGAGUCCACAGAACAUGCCAAGAGAUUAAAAGCAGUUAAUAUCAAACAUCCGCACGCUGGUUUACACAUGAUAUGGAUGAGGCUGGACGAAUGCUUUGGAUCACCAGAAGCAAUUGAAAACUCCCUGUUCUCAAGAAUCCAAAACUUUCCAAAACUUACAAGCAAAGAACCACACAAGCUUCGCGAUCUGUCAGAUCUACUUUGUGAACUUGAAGCAGCAAAGCAAGAUGGAUAUCUGCCAGGUUUGAGUUACCUCGACACUGCGAGGGGAGUAGGUCCAAUUGUGGAAAAGUUGCCCUUUCAUCUGCAAGAGAAGUGGACAAUGAUAGGGUCAAAGUAUAAAGCAGACCAUCAUGUGAGCUUUCCACCUUUCGCCUUCUUUGUUGAAUUUGUGAAAGGACAAGCCAAGGCAAGAAAUGACCCAAGCUUCACCACAAGUUACAGCUCUCUUGCAAAUCCUACAACUAACUACAAAAGAGGAAAAACACAAGGUAACUACACACAAAAACAGUCAGUCACAGUGCACAAAACAGACAUAUCAGUGGGAGCAAAUACAAAGGAAGAGUGCGAAGACAUUAAAAGACAAUGUCCCAUACAUCACAAACCACACCCACUGAAAAGAUGCAGGGGUUUCAGAACUAUGUUGCUUGAGGACAGGAGAAAGGUACUCAAAGACAACAACCUCUGCUAUCGAUGCCUUUCUUCCACUACCCACCAAGCCAAGAACUGCAAAGCUAUCGUAAAGUGUGAUGAAUGUAACAGCGACAAGCAUUUGGCUGCUCUCCACCCAGGUCCAGCACCGCAAACAUCUAAGAUUCCCUCAUCUCCUAAAGAGAACGGCGGGGAGCAAGAACUCACACAGGACUUAGAUGUUACAGCUACAUGUACAGAGGUAUGUGGAAAUCAAAUCACUGGAAAGUCAUGCUCCAAGAUUUGUUUGGUGCAAGUCUACCCAAAAGGUGAGCCACACAACAUGAAAAAGAUGUAUGCAAUAAUAGACGAUCAGAGUAACCAAUCACUAGCCAAGACAGAGUUUUUUGAAGCAUUUGGAAUACAAGGCACAGCCACACCAUACACGCUGAAAACGUGUGCUGGCACGACACAAGUCACUGGUAGAAGAGCAUGCGACUACAUAGUGCAAUCACUGGAUGGAAAAAUGAACUUUCCUCUUCCAACGCUGAUAGAGUGCAAUGCUAUCCCCAACAAUCGGGAAGAAAUACCCACUGCAGAAGCUGCCUUGUAUCACCCGCAUCUGAAGGCCAUAGCUGCUGAAAUACCACCACUUGAACCAAACGCUGAUAUACUGUUGCUGAUUGGACGCAAUCUUCUCAGAGUACACAAGGUGAGAAAGCAAAUCAGUGGCAAGCACAGUGACCCAUUUGCCCAGAAGCUCGACUUAGGCUGGGUCAUCAUCGGUGAUGUGUGUUUAGGCACUGCUCACAAGCCAAGUGAGGUAAACACUCUCAAAACACAUGUGUUGGACAAUGGACGCCCAAGCUAUCUCACUCCCUGUGACAGUCGCUUUAAUGUGAAAGAGAGCUUUACAAUGAGCCAAACUAAACCUGCUUCCAACCCAGUUUCACUUUCAAACCCACACGCAAAGCCAACAUUUGAGAAUCUCGGAGAAGCUGUGUUUACUCGCACUACUGAGGACAAUCAGCUUGCACACUCAGUCGAAGACAUGAUCUUUCUGAAGAAGAUGGAAGGAUUUUUCAAAGAUGAAACAAAUAGCUGGGUAGCACCACUCCCGUUUCGUAGCCCCAGACGCUUACUCCCUGACAACAGGUGCUACGCCCAUAAGCGGCUCAUGUCUCUGCGACGUGCGCUUGACAAGAGACCAGACAUGAAGGCGCACUUUGUUGAGUUUAUGCAGAAGAUGCUUGACAACAAACAUGCAGAGUUGGCACCACCUUGCAAUGAAAACAAAGAGACCUGGUAUCUCCCCAUUUUCGGCGUAUACCACCCACAGAAGCCAGGGAAGAUCCGUGUGGUGUUUGAUUCCAGUGCGCAGUUUGAUGGAGUGUCUCUCAAUGACUGUCUAUUGUCAGGGCCUGAUCUAAAUAACACACUCAUAGGUGUCCUCCUUCGCUUUAGAAAAGAACCUGUUGCUAUCACAGCCGACAUCGAGCAGAUGUUUUACUGCUUUGUCGUCCAGGAAGAUCACAGGGAUUACCUUCGCUUCCUUUGGUACGAAGACAACGAUUUGGCCAAAGAUGUCGUGGACUAUCGCAUGCGGGUACAUGUCUUUGGUAAUAGUCCCUCACCAGCAGUGGCGAUCUAUGGGUUGAGGAUGGCAGCAAAGGAGGCAGAAGGUGAAUAUGGAACUGGUGCUCGAAACUUCAUAGAACAAGAUUUCUAUGUGGAUGAUGCGUUAAAGUCCUUCUCGACAGAAGCAGAGGCUGUUGACGUACUACAGAGAGCCCAGAAAAUGCUUGCUCUUUCUAAUCUACGUCUUCACAAGAUAGCCUCCAACAAAGUGGAAGUAGUGAAUGCUUUCCCACCUGAAGACAGGGCAAAAGAAAUCAAAGACCUUGAUCUGUCAACUGACAAGCCCCCAGUCCAGCGUAGUUUGGGUGUGAUUUGGGACACCACAUCAGACACUUUCACAUUUGAUGUUCCACAAGAGCAAAAGCCCUUUACACGACGUGGUGUGCUCUCAACUGUAAACAGCCUGUUCGAUCCUCUAGGGCUGCUUGCACCUGUAACUAUCAAAGGAAGACUUCUUCUCAGAGAGCUCUCCAGCAGCAAUCUUGAGUGGGACAGUCCGUUGCCUCAAGACAUGUACGACGAUUGGAGAAAAUGGCAUGACUCUCUGCAGCAUCUCAAAGCUCUGAGCAUUCCCCGUACGUAUGUUUCCUUCUCUAUCUCACAAGCCAACUUUAUCGAACUCUGUGUGUUCUCAGAUGCUUCAGUUAAAGCUAUAGCUGCAGUGGCUUACUUGAGAGUCACUCAUGAAGACAACCACAAUGAAGUCGGGUUUGUCAUGGGUAAGGCGAAACUAGCCCCCAUGCCAGAGCUCACCGUCCCGAGGUUAGAACUGUGUGCUGCAGUGCUAGCAGUGGAAAUGUCUGAGCUUCUCAGAGAGGAACUAAAGCUGAAAAUUGACAAGACCUCAUUUUACACUGACAGCAAAGUGGUGUUAGGAUACAUCCACAACCAACACCGACGAUUCCAUGUGUAUGUGAACAAUCGUGUCCAGAGAAUCAAGCAAUCGUCUCUGCCAGAUCAGUGGAAGUAUGUCCCGACAGAGCACAAUCCUGCUGAUCAUGGAUCUCGCUCACUGCCAGCAGAGAAGAUCUCCAGCACCACAUGGUGGUCUGGUCCAGCCAUUCUCUUUGACAAAACCACUGUCACUCCUGAAAAAGGCCCAUUCAAGCUCAUUGAUCCAGAGUCAGAUGUUGAAAUUCGACAGAAUGUAACAACUCUUGUGACUGGCACAAACCACAAAGCCUUGGGUUCAUCACGUUUUGAACGUUUCUCAAAGUGGACCUCAAUAGUCAGAGCAGUAACUUACCUAUGUCAUAUUGCUCACAGUUUCAAGUCCAGAGACAAACGAGAAUGUAAACGCUGGCAUCUUUGCAAAUCAAGCCUCACAGAAGAAGCUGUGACAAAAGCAGAGCACACAAUCAUCAAAUGUGUUCAACAUGAAGUGUACGCAGAAGAAAUUAAGUGCAUCAAGACAAAACAAGACAUACCACGAAACAGUUCACUUUACAAGCUCAAUCCGAUCAUUGACCAUGAAGAUCUACUUCGAGUAGGUGGACGUCUGUCAGAGUCAAAGCUACAGAGUCACGAAAUCCAUCCUCUGCUGAUCCCAGGAAAGCAUCACAUUGCUACACUGCUCAUUCGACAUCACCACAACGCUGUUAAGCAUCAAGGAAGACACUUCACUGAGGGAGCUGUGAGAGCAAGUGGCGUGUGGUUAGUGGGUGCCAAAAGAUCUAUCAGCAGUGUCAUCCACAAAUGUGUGAUCUGUAGAAAGCUACGAGGCAAGACAGAGCAACAAAUCAUGGCAGACCUGCCCGCCGAACGUUUACAAACCGAUCCCCCAUUUUCCUAUGUUGGCCUGGAUGUAUUCGGACCGUGGGAGGUUACAACACGACGCACUAAAGGUGGUCAAGCCAACAGCAAAAGAUGGGCAGUGAUAUUCACUUGUAUGUCUACAAGAGCCAUUCAUAUUGAAGUGAUUGAAACACUCAGCUCAUCAAGUUUCAUAAAUGCUCUUCGUAGAUUUUUUGCACUCAGAGGUCCUGCUAAACAGCUAAGAUCCGACUGCGGAACCAACUUUGUUGGUGCAUCGAAAGAGUUGAAGUUGGAUCCUCCAAAGCCCAAUGAGACAAGUGUGGAAGACUACUUAUGCGAACAGAGGUGCUCCUGGGUUUUCAACCCUCCUCACUCAUCCCACAUGGGAGGCACAUGGGAGCGUAUGAUCGGGAUAGCACGACGCAUACUGGACUCAAUGCUCUUGCAAUCAGGAAACCCCAAGUUAACCCAUGAGGUCCUCACAACACUGUUGGCUGAAGUCACGGCCAUUAUCAAUGCAAGGCCCUUGGUACCAGUCUCUUCUGAUCCUGAAGCUCCUUUAAUCUUGACUCCUAUGACGCUUCUCACACAAAAGACUAAUGCAAUCCCGAUUCCAUCAGGGGAUUUCAACAAAGCUGACAUGUUCAAACAUCAGUGGAAGAGAGUUCAAGUUCUUGCUGACACUUUUUGGGCCCGCUGGCAAAAAGAGUACCUGAACAUGCUCCAAAGUCGUCAGAAGUGGCAGCGCAACAGACCGAAUCUAAAAGAAGGUGACAUCAUUCUUCUCAAGGACAAACAACUAAAACGGAACGAAUGGCCAAUGGGAAUCAUUGUCAAGACUCUCCCGAGCAAAGAUGGAGUCGUAAGGAAGCUGGAGGUCAAGGUGUCAGGGGAGAAGACUUCAAAGACUUUUUCUAGACCUAUUUCGGACUGUAUACUUAUUUUAUCUACAGUUUAGUGUUUGUAGACACUAUUUAGUGGCAUUCUUAAAAUAAUGCCAGGCGGGGAGUGUGUUGUAUCAUUUUUACAUGUUGUUAAUCAUCCAGGCCACUAGAGGGCGUACAGUUCUGUAGCAGUGUUAGUUUCCGCCACUGGGUGGCAAGAGCAAGAGACCGCUUGCACAGUGUCAACAACAGCAGCAUGAGAUUGUGUCCUGCUCAAUCUGCAGCCGUCCACUCUUUUCCAGCCCUUUGAGUGGCAAUAUGUUUUCACACUUUUUUGCAUUAAAUCCUUGCCCAAAACGA